UGGGGAAUCUUGGACAAUGGGCGCAAGCCUGAUCCAGCCAUGCCGCGUGGAUGAUGAAGGCCCUAGGGUUGUAAAAUCCUUUCGUUGGGGACGAUAAUGACGGUACCCAAAGAAGAAGCUCCGGCUAACUUCGUGCCAGCAGCCGCGGUAAUACGAAGGGGGCUAGCGUUGUUCGGAUUUACUGGGCGUAAAGCGCGUGUAGGCGGGCUGGUAAGUUGGGGGUGAAAUCCCGAGGCUUAACCUCGGAACUGCCUCCAAAACUGUCAGCCUGGAGCAAAGAAGAGGCGAGUGGAAUUGCGAGUGUAGAGGUGAAAUUCGUAGAUAUUCGCAGGAACACCAGUGGCGAAGGCGACUCGCUGGUCUUUUGCUGACGCUGAGACGCGAAAGCGUGGGGAGCAAACAGG
rnacentral:rRNA from 1 species